UACGUAGGGUGCGAGCGUUGUCCGGAAUUAUUGGGCGUAAAGAGCUCGUAGGCGGUUUGUCACGUCUGCUGUGAAAUCCCGAGGCUCAACCUCGGGCCUGCAGUGGGUACGGGCAGACUGGAGUGCGGUAGGGGAGAAUGGAAUUCCUGGUGUAGCGGUGGAAUGCGCAGAUAUCAGGAGGAACACCGAUGGCGAAGGCAGUUCUCUGGGCCGUAACUGACGCUGAGGCACGAAAGUGUGGGGAUCAAACAGG
rnacentral:rRNA from 1 species